GACGAACGCUGGCGGCGUGCUUAACACAUGCAAGUCGAACGGAAAGGCCCUGCUUUUGUGGGGUGCUCGAGUGGCGAACGGGUGAGUAACACGUGAGUAACCUGCCCUUGACUUUGGGAUAACUUCAGGAAACUGGGGCUAAUACCGGAUAGGAGCUCCUGCUGCAUGGUGGGGGUUGGAAAGUUUCGGCGGUUGGGGGUGGACUCGCGGCUUAUCAGCGUGGUGGUGGGGUAGUGGCUUACCAAGGCUUUGACGGGGAGCCGGCCUGAGGGGGUGACCGGCCACAUUGGGACUGAGAUAGGGCCCAGACUCCUACGGGAGGGAGCAGUGGGGAAUAUUGCACAAUGGGCGGAAGCCUGAUGCAGCAACGCCGCGUGCGGGAUGACGGCCUUCGGGUUGUAAACCGUUUUCGCCUGUGACGAAGCGUGAGUGACGGUAAUGGGUAAAGAAGCACCGGCUAACUACGUG
rnacentral:rRNA from 1 species